GAGAAGGGGGUGCUCACUUCCGAGCGGUGAGAGAAUUUUUUUUUUUUUUUAAACGAAAACUUUCCAAGGCCUAGCGUGACCCAGGUCCACUUCCGUUUUUCCACUUUAUCAUAUACUCAUGAGGGCUGUAAACUCCUUUAAGCCACCAGGAAAAACAGCAAGAUGGCUGCCAAAGCUGCGACCUUAACCAGCAAUCAAAGGGCAGAGAACCCAGGACCCAAGAACAGUAGAUGGCAGCCUCCAAACUUGGCACAGUGGUUAAUGACUGAGCCAGCUGGUCAGGGGCCUGGAAGGAGAAAGAUCGCAAGAACACAAACAAGGCGGCCAGUGAAUGGACACAUGAGAAUGGGCACAAAGUGUGAAGAUCUUUGUAUCACGUGUUAAUGCCCACCAGAGAGUACCACCAUGGAAGAGGCACUAAACCAUCAAGCAAACAAAAUGACUCAGCCCAUUGACAUCAGCCAGCUGUCACUGGCUACCCCAGCACCAGCACAGUGAAUGCAUAGAUGAAGUAGCUAUGAUGUCAGCGACAGAAGGAAGUUAUGUACAAGCUCAACAGUAUGGGUUCCCACUUACCAAGGCUGAUCUAUCUACUGCCACUACUGUAUGUCCAACCUGCCAGUAACAGAGAGCAAUGCUAAGUCUCCAGUAUGGCACCAUCCAUCAAGGACAUCAGUUGGCCAGUUGGUGGCAAGUUGACUAUUUGGGGCCUCUUCCAGUCUGGAAGGAGCAGAAAUUCACUUUUACAGCAAUAGACACAUAUUCUUUUUAUGAGUUUGCCUUUCCUGCAUGCAUGGCUUCAGCCAGCACCACCAAAUGAAGGCUUACAGAGUGUUUGAUCUACCAGCAUAGGAUCCCAUAUAACAUCCACCAAGGGACCCACUUCACAGCAAAGGAGGUGCACGAGUGA